ACAGCAGGGAGAAGCCCUAGUGCCUCUGCCGGCUGCCCAGGACCUGGUAUCGGCCCACAGACCAAGUCCUCCACAGAGGGCGAGCCAGGGUGGAGAAGAGCCAGCCCAGCCCAAUGCCAGCCUGAAUGAAGAAGAAGGGACACAGGGCCACCCAGAUGGGACCCCACCAAAGCUGGACACCGCCAAUGGCACUCCCAAAGUUUACAAGUCAGCAGACAGCAGCACUGUGAAGAAAGGUCCUCCUGUGGCUCCCAAGCCAGCCUGGUUUCGCCAAAGCUUGAAAGGUUUGAGGAAUCGUGCUUCAGACCCAAGAGGGCUCCCUGAUCCUGCCUUGUCCACCCAGCCAGCACCUGCUUCCAGGGAGCACCUAGGAUCACACAUCCGGGCCUCCUCCUCCUCCUCCUCCAUCAGGCAGAGAAUCAGCUCCUUUGAAACCUUUGGCUCCUCUCAACUGCCUGACAAAGGAGCCCAGAGACUGAGCCUCCAGCCCUCCUCUGGGGAGGCAGCAAAACCUCUUGGGAAGCAUGAGGAAGGACGGUUUUCUGGACUCUUGGGGCGAGGGGCUGCACCCACUCUUGUGCCCCAGCAGCCUGAGCAAGUACUGUCCUCGGGGUCCCCUGCAGCCU
rnacentral:lncRNA from 1 species